UACGUAGGUGGCGAGCGUUGUCCGGAUUUACUGGGCGUAAAGGGCGUGCAGGCGGUUUGUUAAGGGCAGGGUGAAAGCUCCCGGCUCAACUGGGAGAGGUCCUUGCAUACUGGCGAACUCGAGGGAGGCAGAGGAAAGUGGAAUUCCCGGUGUAGUGGUGAUAUGCGUAGAUAUCGGGAGGAACACCUGUGGCGAAGGCGGCUUUCUGGGCCUUACCUGACGCUGAGACGCGAAAGCGUGGGGAGCGAACCGG
rnacentral:rRNA from 1 species